rnacentral:lncRNA from 1 species
AGAACCUCCGAAUGGAAAACAACGAAGGAAAUGAAACAAACCCCAAACAUACAAGGCUGUGAUGCUCAAACUGCACACGAAGCAGCGUGGCGUAGUCCAUAUCGAGAAGCUUCCGCCGGAAACGAUUUGAAGAACAAGAAGCAGUAAGAAAAACAUAAGACAAAGUUAAAAGCACAAUGGACGGAGGCCGGAAAACAAACCUCCGACGAAAGAAUGAACCUUAUGCAACGUAUCAGCCCAACCUGUGAUCGAAGGAUCAGAAGCACCUGCGCAAGAUCAAGGCAUGAUCAACAUCAACCAGAGAUAACCGACUCACUCAAAGAUAUAAAAAUGGAAAAAUCUUUAAAACCUACCAGGACCAAUAACGUUAGCAGGCGAAGGCCUGCUGCCCAGCAC